UAGACCCAGGCAGGUUCUUAAGCUCUCUGCAAAGCCAUUUCCUCAUGUGUAAAAUGAACACAACAACCCAAGUGCUCUCGAAGGCCUGUUGUGAGAUGAACAUGGGCUAAUGUAUGGGAAGAUCAACUAGCAACUAUCCGUACACAAGACACCACUGUGAAAAUCCUAGAACCUGGGGAUGAGGAAGUGGUUUAUUGGACAACAGAUACUGAAGAGGACCACAUUAGAAGGAACAAGUUUGCAGACUCCUCAUCUACAUGAUGAUUACAGAGACCUGGACAAAUUAAAGGAUUAGCAGUAAGAAUGAAAG